GACGAACGCUGGCGGCGUGCUUAACACAUGCAAGUCGAACGAAGUGGCGAACGGGUGAGUAACGCGUAAUCAACCUGCCCUUCAGAGGGGUACACCAGUUGGACACGACUGCUAAUACCGCAUACUGAAGGAGGGGAUUGCGUCUGAUUAGCUAGUUGGAGGGGUAACGGCCGACCAAGGCGAUGAUCAGUAGGCGGGCUGAGGGGAUGUACGACCACAACGGGACUGAUGCACGGGCCAGACUGCUACGGGAGGCAGCAGUGGGGAAUCUUCGGAAAAGGGCGAAAGUCUGGCGGCGCAAAUCCGCGGGAGUGGCGACGGGCUUCGGGGUGUAAAGGUCUGUUAAUCGGGACGCGGUACCGGAAUAAAAAGCCACGGCUAACUACGUGCCAGCAGCCGCGGUAAUAC
rnacentral:rRNA from 1 species